rnacentral:ncRNA from 2 species
CCCAUCACCUCGGGGUGCCCUUUGGGCUGAGAUGUGCGAAACGCAUGAACCCGUUGAACCUGAACCGGUUAAGACCGGCGGAGGGAAGGGACAGGGCGCAUCG